rnacentral:tRNA from 1 species
GGGCAAUUAGCUCAAUGGCUAGAGCAUCUCGUUUACACCGAGAGGGUUAUAGGUUCGAGUCCUAUAUUGCCCACCA